rnacentral:miRNA from 1 species
UCCUCCCUACUCCUCCCAUU